rnacentral:lncRNA from 1 species
AAGGUUAAACAGUGAUGGUAGUACAUGGGUCUUGUUAUUAAUACUCCUGAAAAUGUUUCUGAUGUUUAAGCAUGAUUAUUGUUUCUAGUUUGAGAUUUGGAGACAAAAGCAAAACAAAAACACACACUGCAGGUUUUUGUUUAUACUGUGUCCAAGCACACUCUAAGAACCUUGCCCUUGUGACGAGACACUUACUCAUAUGAAUCCCGUAACUCUCAGAGUAUAGAUUGUCUGAGGUGCUGAGAUAGGUGGACUGCUGAUGAGACUCAUUCAUUUCCUCUUUUCUCAUAUAUUACACUCCAGCCAAUUUCUGAGUUCUUAUGAGAAAAUCCUAAGAAACCAAGACAUGUGCCCACAGUUUCUUCACAGAAUUGUUCUAGGAAUAAGUUUUUGCGCCCCUCCUAGAUCUAUCAGGUAGGGAUGAGGGUUUUUUUCCCCCCCAGAAGGGUUUCUCUGUGUAGCCCUGGCUGUCCUGGAACUCACUCUGUAGACCAGGCUGGCCUCGAACUCAGAAAUCUGACUGCC